rnacentral:tRNA from 1 species
GGGUUUGUGGCGCAACGGUAGCGUGACUGACUCCAAUUCAGAAGGUUGAGGGUUCGAGCUCAUUUUAUUUCUC